rnacentral:lncRNA from 1 species
GGCUACACCUCAAAUACGGAUUGAAUUUUCGCAUGAGUUUUGAGGGACACCCAUUCAAAGCAUAGCACCCUUCGGCUUCAGAGAAGCUCCAGCCCUGUUGUCACCAAGCAGGUUCCCCCUAGGCAGAGCGCCAAGAAGCAGCCCAGGCGAUCCCAAGGCGCACAAGUGCUCUCACCAGGCUGCGCGCUGGCGGGUCGGUGCACAGGGACGGGGUCGCCGCCCACGCGCGCUUGGUUCAGGGAGCCCAGGCUGUCCCUACCCGCGGCUACAAAAGCUCGCCGAGUCUUCCUGUCCACCCAAUCGCCCCACAUGUCAGCGGUUGGUCGCCUCGCGGUGCAGUGCUGGGCACGCGAGCCCCUCCCGCAGUCAUUCUCAGCACAAGCACCAGCCUGGAGCCCCGCAGCGACAGAGCUGAGAGCCCCCAAGCCGCAGAGGUCGUGCGGAGCAGGUUGCAAAUGUCUUAGAAACACACUCCUGGACCACAGCUUCAAGAGACGCAAGCAGUCACCUCAUCUGCUGGUUUCCAAGCUGCCCUGCCAGAAGCAGGUCAGGGGUCCCACAGGGGUCCUCAGUAACUCCUCAAAAUCCUCUCCCAUCAAUGGCCCCACCAGAUCAUCCCUACUUUUGAAUGCUUGUCCAAUGCAGGUUCCAGAUUUGAUUAAGUGAAACAAAGCCCCAGCUGCUGGAGCAGAGGUUCCACUUGGGUUCCACAGACACCCACAGCCCAAAUCCCUGGAGGCCUAAGGCAAUAGCUAAUUGAGACUAUGCAUCACUAUUAAGGCAUCUUCACUAAAGGGCGCUGUGGAAACGCUGCCUGAGAUGCAGACACCUGUCAGAAGGGGGCUAAAUUUCAAACAAGGAACGUGGUGUUGCAUCACAAUAAAAAGAGGAGACCAAUGGGGAGCAUUGGAAUGAUUUGGUUGCAAGCAUACUACACUACUUGUAAACUGCAGACACAGGCUUAAAAAAAGUGAAAAACUAACCAUGCAAUAAAGAAUGGAAUGAACCAUGAAGCUGUUUCUGUGGCCAGUCAUGUUUUUGAAGCAUAUCCCAUGCUAAUUUCUAGAACAGAAGAAACACACGUGUUCUUGUGUGUAAACCCAGUCCAUGGAAGAGACCGUCUGCUUGUCCCUCCUGAUCUCUGGGCCCAGACAACCAGUAGUCACCAUUCCAAGUGAGGGGUGGCUGCAACUCUACAGCCCCGUUCGUCUCUCCUCACUGUCAAAGCUGCUGAGACCCCAGACUCGACACUUGAAAGAAACCCAUGUCUGUGAAGCACUUGUGGACCAUUCAAGAUUGUGGAAGAAUCACUCAAGAGAAGGAGAUAGGUGAUGGGAUCUAGCUUCUGAUGGUUUCUAUUUUAUUGAAUGUCUAAUAGGGCAAGAAUUUGAAAAACGAGAAUGUUUGCCAUGCAGGAGGACCUGGGAAGGAGAUAACACAUUUACAGGGAGAAAGAUUGGGAUUCAGUUGGGAGGAGUAACUGAGGAAAGGGGUCACUCAAAAUAUUUUGUAUUUUAGGUCCUUUUUCUAUUAAGGAGGAAUGGAUUAUCAAAGCCUUAACAUUAAAUUGUAUUGUGUCAGGUGAAUUGCUAUGGUUUGAAUGUGGUGUGUCCCCCUCCCAAACUCACAUUGAAUUUUUUUUUUUUUUUUUGAGACGGAGUCUCGCUCUGUUGCCCAGGCUGGAGUGCAGUGGUGCGAUCUUGGCUCACUACAAGCUCUGCCUCCCGGGUUCAAGAGAUUCUCCUGCCUCAGCCUCCCGAGUAGCUGGGAUUACAGAUGUUCGUCACCACACCUGGCUAAUUUUUGUAUUUUUAAUAGAGAUGGGGUUUCACUAUGUUGGCUAGGCUGGUCUCAAACUCCCGACAUCAGGUGAUCCACCCACCUCGGCCUCCCAAAGUGCUGGGAUUAGAGGAGUGAGCCACUGCACCCAGCCUCACGUUGAGGUUUAAUUGCCAUUGUAACAGUAUAAAGAUGUGGGACCUUUACGAGGUGAUUAGGCAAUGAGGACUCUGCCCUCAUGAAUGGAUUAAUGCUGUUAUCAUGGGAGUGGAUUCCUUAUAAAGGGACACGUUCAGCACCCCCUUGCUCUCUCUCUCACCUUCCGCCAUAUGAUGAUGGGGCACAAAGGCCAUCAUCAGAUGUUGGCCCCUUGUUCUCGAACUUCCCAACCUCCAGAGCAGUAAAAAAAUAAAUCACUGUUCUUUAC